GAUGAACGCUGGCGGCGUGCCUAAUACAUGCAAGUCGAGCGAACAGACGAGGAGCUUGCUCCUCUGACGUUAGCGGCGGACGGGUGAGUAACACGUGGAUAACCUACCUAUAAGACUGGGAUAACUUCGGGAAACCGGAGCUAAUACCGGAUAAUAUAUUGAACCGCAUGGUUCAAUAGUGAAAGACGGUUUUGCUGUCACUUAUAGAUGGAUCCGCGCCGCAUUAGCUAGUUGGUAAGGUAACGGCUUACCAAGGCAACGAUGCGUAGCCGACCUGAGAGAGUGGUCGGCCACACUGGAACUGAGACACGGUCCAGACGACUACGGGAGGCAGCAGUAGGGAAUCUUCCGCAAUGGGCGAAAGCCUGACGGAGCAACGCCGCGUGAGUGAUGAAGGUCUUCGGAUCGUAAAACUCUGUUAUUAGGGAAGAACAAAUGUGUAAGUAACUAUGCACGUAGUGACGGUACCUAAUCAGAAAGCCACGGCUAACUACGUG
rnacentral:rRNA from 1 species